UACGGAGGGUGCAAGCGUUAUCCGGAAUCAUUGGGUUUAAAGGGUCCGCAGGCGGUUCUAUAAGUCAGUGGUGAAAUCUCUCGGCUCAACCGAGAAACUGCCAUUGAUACUGUAGGACUUGAAUUCGGUCGAAGUGGGCGGAAUAUGACAUGUAGCGGUGAAAUGCUUAGAUAUGUCAUAGAACACCGAUAGCGAAGGCAGCUCACUAGACCUGGAUUGACGCUCAGGGACGAAAGCGUGGGGGAGCAAACAGG
rnacentral:rRNA from 1 species